rnacentral:tRNA from 1 species
AGGGAGCUAGAAGGGUUUAGGUGAUUGACUUCAUUUUUGACACGGAAGAGGUCGAUGGUUCGAAUCCAUUCGGGCCUACCA